rnacentral:rRNA from 1 species
CCUACGGGUGGCAGCAGUGAGGAAUAUUGGUCAAUGGGCGCGAGCCUGAACCAGCCAAGUAGCGUGAAGGAUGACUGCCCUACGGGUUGUAAACUUCUUUUAUAAAGGAAUAAAGUGAGGCACGUGUGCCUUUUGGUAUGUACUUUAUGAAUAAGGAUCGGGUAAUUCCGUGCCAGCAGCCGCGGUAAUACGGAGGAUGCGAGCGUUAUCCGGAUGUAUGGGGUUUAAAGGGUGCGUAGGCGGGAUGCCAAGUCAGCGGUAAAAAUGCGGUGCUCAACGCCGUCGAGCCGUUGAAACUGGGGUUCUUGAGUGGGCGAGAAGUAUGCGGAAUGCGUGGUGUAGCGGUGAAAUGCAUAGAGAUCACGCAGAACUCCGAUUGCGAAGGCAGCAUACCGGCGCCCUACUGACGCUGAGGCACGAAAGCGUGGGUAUCGAACAGGAUUAGAUACCCGAGUAGUC